GAAAGAUGGUUUCGGCUAUCGCUUACAGAUGGGCCCGCGGUGCAUUAGCUAGUUGGUAGGGUAAUGGCCUACCAAGGCAACGAUGCAUAGCCGACCUGAGAGGGUGAUCGGCCACACUGGGACUGAGACACGGCCCAGACUCCUACGGGAGGCAGCAGUAGGGAAUCUUCCGCAAUGGACGAAAGUCUGACGGAGCAACGCCGCGU
rnacentral:rRNA from 1 species